AGACUAGUUCUGUUUGUUGUCUGUUAACAGGUAGAAGCAAAACUCCUGUUUGAGUUUUCUGCUGGGGCAGGCAUCACGGUAUAAGGCAUGGGCCAGUCACUCCUACCGAUGGAUCUGUGCAGCAGACCUUUGCCAAGGAGUUAAUUACAAAGUUAAGAGUGGAUGUUUUCAGGAUGUAACAUUAGAAAAAAUGAGAGAACAUAGGCCAUCAGUGGCUCCUUCCUGCUAGUUUUGGGGGUGAAAGACAAGGGGAAGUCAGAGUGUCUGAAAUGUUGGUACGUCUGGGACUAUGCAGUUAGAAUUCCUUCCAUGCUCACAGCUGUCUCCAACUAAGAUCAAAGGACUAAGCGGGACAUUAUUCCUGUUCAGUGAAUGUGCUGUCAAAUGGUACAAUGUAAUAAUGAAAAAUGCCAGCAACUACAAAGACUUGCUAGGUACCUUUGACUGUGCUAAGCAGAGAGAUUAAAGUAUCAUAGUUCUCAUUACGUGCUUUUCAUAUGGGAGUGGUUAUAGAAGCAUAUUUUUGUUUUAGGAAGCUAAAUACUGUGAAACAAAAUCUUGUAUAAUUUAACUGUAUUUUGUUUAUUUUUAUCUCCUUGAAAAUAAUAGCAUAAUAGUAGUUUUGAUCAAGACAUUGCUCUGGCUUUGUUUUGUUUUCCUACUAAGCUAUGAUACUGCUGGGUUACUGAUGAUUUGGUUUGCUUAUGUUUUUCUUGAAUCUCUUAAGUUGGAGAUGCUCUGGUUGUGAUUUAUGUAUCUUGCAAUUGUGUAAUUUAGUGCCAAAAUAUAGUAAACUUUAACAGCGUUGCUAUCUAUGAAUUUGUAUAUGGAGCCUACAAAUUCAUGUAUGUAAUAGAAAAUGCAGAAAGUAACAUCAGACUUCUGUUUUGCAAAUCAGCAGAUCGCUGUUGGAACACACUUCCUCUGAGAUCUGCAUCAAUAAAGAAUGCAUUUUAAGAU